GGGGGUUCGGGGGGAGGCUGAACCUCUCCCAGCUCCAGCCCGGCACCGGCCAUCUGCAGGGCUGCGGCGGCGGAGCGACCGGGCACCGGGCCGCCAGCCCGAGGGUAAGAAACCUCUGUCCUGCAGAGACUUGCACACCGAACUUGCAUCGUGUGAGUAGGCCUAGCUCAAACAGAUGCUCCUGAGCCUGAGGUUAAGUAUAGAAGUUUCAGGAAAUAAGGAAGAAAAAUUCUUCUCAAGGCCUUUGUAAAGUUGAAUCGCAAAAAUCUCCACUCAUAAGUUUUUGAAAGAGGAGCUGAAGUUACUUGUUUAUAUUUAUUCAAGCAUAGAAAGAUAUCUGCAUGCUGGCAACACAGGGAUGUGGUGUUUGUUGGUGCUGUGGUAGCUUUCUGUCUGUAAUACUUACCAAGCCCACCUUGCUGUGAGAGGAGAAGCCAGGCUUUGGACUGUCCAGGUGGAUUCCACAAAGGCGUUUGACUCUGUGAAUGAAGUCUGUCCGUGAGUGUGUGGUUCUCGGCUUGCAACAUAGCAAGCCUGUUCCCUGCAGGAAACAGAGGCAGCGGUCCCAGGCUCUCCAGGGGCUCUCUCCCGUACCAAGCCUCAAGACUGGCAGCUACAAGCUCUCCACAUCCAAACUGCAGCCAAGCAAAGGAUUGAAGUCACCCAUCCCAGUGACAUGUAUCCCUGCAGCAGCCGCGGCACAUGGGGCGGUAGAAAUGAAGCAACUUUUGUAAAACAUGUUGUGCAAGAUCCCCGGCUGCCCAACCAGCAGUUUGUCAUCGCCCUGAAACACCGCGCUUUCCCAGAGAGCAACCGUGUGCCUGCAGGAAAACUUUCCUCAGCCUCACAGCCUCAUCCAGGGCCAUGAACACGCAUCAGACUGAUUCAAACCAGACAGAGGAUUUUGCCACCUUUUAUAAAAGAUUUGCGUGACAUUUUACAGGCAAGUUUGCCAUCACUGCUGCCUGUGCCCAUCAUUUCUCAAAACACAGCGCGUGUUACUUUCUGCCUUGUUGGGAUACAGAAAGUUGAAGGCCAAGUCCCAAACUGUGUGUCAUAUUUAAGGAGAUCAUGUCUGCCUCAGUAUGUAGCAUCGGGCUGCAUCAGAAAACUCUAAUAGCUGCUUUCUGACCUAGGGAAAACUUAACCACCCACUAUCGCUUCUCUCGCUUUGUUCAGUAAAAAUUGAUCCUGACAAAUAUGCUGUUUAUUGGCACGACUUGACCUUCAGGUCCAUUGUUCAGUGAAAGGAGAAAGAACGGUUGGUAAAGUCAGAAAAAGUAUCAAGGUAGCCAAACAAUGAUAUUAUUUUCUGAACUAUCUUUUUCCUUCAUUGAUACUUCUUCAAGCCAUUCCACAAAACCCCCAGGAACGAGGCCACAACUUUGCCACCUGACUCUUCUGUAUGUCAGGAAGCCUGAACACUGCAACCAGCCUCUUUUCUGGAAGGAUCUGCAGUUCAGGUUUACGCAGACUCCGCAGCUUCCUGCUGUUGCUAAACAUUGUUGCAGAACGGGAGAGGGAAAACGAGGGAGAAAGUUAUAUUCUUGAAUCUCCAAUAGAAGUCUACUGGAGAAAUAUCUGGAGGCGUUAGAAGGGGGCUCAAGGGACUAUACGUCAAUACAGACCCUCUUUUGCAGACAGACAUGAGUUCACCUGACUGUUCUCCAAGUCAAUCAAGUUGUGGUUAGCCGAACACUGAGCUUUAGCUAAUAAGCCAUGCUAAGAGGUAAGGUAUAUUAACUCAGGCCCCAAGCCAAACUAGUGUAAAUAUAAAACUCUGCCUGCAAAAAGCUCCACAUGUAGUUAUAAAGUUAGUUUUAAUUCCAACCCUGCCAUCAAUUUCAAGCACCACCUUAGGCAAAUCACUGAAUCUCAGUUCCUUACUUGCAAAGUGGGGACAGUAAAAGUGUCCCACUCUUCAUACAUUAAGAGUCAAAGCUGUUCUGGUAAGAUGUUAACAUGCACAUGUUUAAAGACUCGAAAAGAAAAUGCAAUUCAGUCUGGCUGCGGCGCUGUAAGUAAUAAUAACCCUCAGUAUGGUACUGAGUGUUCUUAAGCAAUGGAACUGACUGUCUUGUUUUUUUAUGGUACUCUGCUUGAAAUGCUAAACCCACUGGAAUACCUUUGCUUGGUCUUGUUCCUCCAACUUCAUGCAGAUUGCCUCACUUUUU